rnacentral:rRNA from 1 species
AAUAAAAUUUUACUAUUUUUUUUUUCUUUUUAUAUAAAUUUUUAAUUAAAGUAAAUUUAAUUUUUUUGUUUUUGUAUUUUUUAGAUUAAAUAAUUUUAGUAAUAGUAAAUUAGUACAGUGAUGGAAAUUUUGAAGCUACUUACUUAUUUGUUAAGUAAAAUUAAUUUUUUGUACCUUUUGUAUCAGGGUUUAUUAAAAAUUUAAUAUUUAUAAUUAUUUUUCUCGAAUUUAGCAGAGCUAGUUUUUUAUGGGAGUUAAUGUUGCAAAAUUAUUUUGAAUAAAAUUCUAGUGAUUAAAUGUUAAUCGCUGUUAAAUAUAUCUAGUUCUUUAAGAAUUAAAUUUAAUUUAGGUAUUUUAUUAAAUUAUUUAAAUUUUAUUUAUUUAAUUUAUUUAAAUACAAAAAAUUUUAGGGAUAAGCUUGGAAUUUUUUCUUACAACUUAAAUAAUUUUAUUCACACAAUUAGUAGGAUUAGAAAUUUCCAUCUUUAGCAAGGAUGUUAUAAUUUAUUGUAGUAUAAAUGAAAUUUUUAAGAGUUUAAGUUUUAUAUUAAAGAAUUUUAGUUAAUUUAUUUUAAUAGAUAUAAUGAUAAAAUUAGUAUUAUUUUAUUUUUGAACAAAAGAUUUAUUUAGAUAAUAGUAAGGAAUUCAGCAAAAUUAUACUCGCCUGUUUAUCAAAAACAUGUCUUUUUGCUUAUAAUCUAAAGUCUAACCUGCCCACUGAUAUUUUGAAGGGCCGCAGUAUCUUGACUGUGCAAAGGUAGCAUAAUCACUUGCCUCUUAAUUGGAGGCUGGAAUGAAUGGUUGGACGAGGUAUAAUCUGUCUCAUUAUUAGAAAUUAAAAAUUUAAUUUUUCAGUAAAAAAGCUGAAAUAAUUUUGGAGGACGAGAAGACCCUAUAGAGCUUUAUAAUUAUUUAAUAUAUUUUUGUAGAUGAAAAUAUUUGUGUAUUAAUAUUUUUAUUUUGUUGGGGUGACAGGAAGAUUAGCUUAACUCUUUUGAAUUUGAAACAUAGAUUAAUGAUUUUUUGAUCCAUUAUUAUUGAUUAUUAGAAUAAGUUACCUUAGGGAUAACAGCGUAAUUUUGUUGGAGAGUUCAUAUCGAUAACAAAGAUUGCGACCUCGAUGUUGAAUUAAAGAAAUUUUUUAGUGCAGCAGCUAAAUUGAGUAGGUCUGUUCGACCUUUAAAUCUUUACAUGAUUUGAGUUCAGACCGGCGUGAGCCAGGUCGGUUUCUAUCCUCAAUGAAGUUUUUUGAUUUAGUACGAAAGGACCAAUCAUUGGAAUUAUAUUCUGUUUUUUGAAUAAAAUU